GAUACUAGCAGCUGUCAAAAUAUACCUUAAAUCAGUCAGUUUCCAUUUGCUGUCUGUUGCAAUAUUAUUUUUUGAAUUAUUAUGCAGUGAUUUUUAUGAAUUAUUAAUAUUUGGAUCAGAGCUCUAGGCUUGCUGUAAACCUUUUCUAAAUGUGACAAUGAAUCUCACUCUUCUUGCAGUUCUUAUGGCAGUUGAUAGCAGACACUUCAAAAGCUUUGCAGCAGCCAGUUGAGUGUAUAUCUUGAGAGAUGUAGAUUUGCAGGGAAUUUGAGAAGUCUUAUCAGGAAAUGUUUUCCUUUGACAGCAUGUUAUGUAGCAGACACGCCUGUGUGAACUGCCUGUGAUGUAGAGGAGCUCAUGUUCAAUCUCCAAAUGAUCAGAAAAGAACAUGACCCUGAACACAACUGGACAACCAGGACCAUCGGCCCUGUAUGUCGCACACCCCGUGUUGUUCAUAAUCUAGAAACCAGAACUUGUAUUUUCAACCGGAAGAUAUAAGAGUGGGAAACUUUCUCCUGCAGCUCAUCUCCAUAUGAAUCUGCACUUAUUGAUACUUUUCUUCAUCACCAAAAUCCUCUUUACAUGAGGCUGCAGAAAGAUAAAGUAAUGGACUCAGGUCUUCAUAACAUUUAAAAACUAAGUGAUACAUACAUGGAUAUUUAGAAGAUUAAAAUAUUUCAUUCAAAAUAUGUCCUAAUUAUCUUUUUUCUUUUUUUAGCUGAGGUUAAGAUAGCACUUGAACUCUAAACUUCUUUAAUAAUGUAUUAAUAUAAUAAUAUUAUAUUAAGUGCUCUGAGAAUACUACUGGAUCACAAAUUUAUAAUGUGUAGUUUUGUCCUGCCUGUACUUGGAUUAUAAACUCUUUGGAAGUAAGAACUAUCUUUUAGUCCUGUUGUCUUUAUAGUACCCAGAAAGUUGGGGCUUGGCAAUUCUACUGCGGUCACGGUUCCAACACUGACAGAGAAGCUGAGAACUUGAGGAUGGCUGCUGCCUUCUGGGAAG
rnacentral:lncRNA from 1 species